rnacentral:rRNA from 1 species
UACGUAGGGACCAAGCGUUGUUCGGAAUUAUUGGGCGUAAAGGGCGCGUAGGCGGUGCGGUAAGUCUGCAGUGAAAUCUCUGGGCUCAACUCGGGAACUGCGUCCGAUACUGGCAGGCUUGAAUCCGGGAGAGGGAUGCGGAAUUCCAGGUGUAGCGGUGAAAUGCGUAGAUAUCUGGAGGAACACCGGUGGCGAAGGCGGCAUCCUGGACCGGCAUUGACGCUGAGGCGCGAAAGCCAGGGGAGCAAAGCGGG